GGGAUUCCAGAGUCAAAGGCUGAUCAUGGAGGGCAUUGAUGAGGGAAGACUUCAGGAUGCUGCCUCCUGAGAAGCUGUUGUGUAGCGAGCCUUGACCAUCUCAAGGAAAGAGACUUACUGUCUUACACAGCUUCCCCUUCUAUCUUAAGAUGUUGUCAUUGUUGUUAGAAAACUUUGUAAAUAAUUAAAUGAACAUAACUGAUAAGAAAAACACCCUGUUGCAUCUUGGCCCAAAGCACAGCCAUAAGUGUUAUUGAGUUGAACCAAUAAUAUCUGGUUAGAAAGUCCCCAGAAAUAAUGAUGCCAAAUUAGGCAUGUGUACAGUAUAUGUGGAAUGUGAUGGCUGGACAUUGAUUAGGCACAUUUAUUAAAAGAACAUCUUCCUCCAAACAAAUAACAGCUGUGAAUCCCCAGGGGGUUGCCAUACCCUAGAUCACUGCAAAGAGGCAAAUAGAAGAUUCUGUGAUUUCCUAGAUGAUCUUUGCACUUAGCACAAUGAUAUUGAUUAUAGUAAUUGAUUAAUACAC
ensembl:lncRNA PAQR9-AS1 PAQR9 antisense RNA 1